rnacentral:rRNA from 1 species
ACGAACGCUGGCGGCGUGCCUAAUACAUGCAAGUCGAGCGGAAUGAUGAAGAAGCUUGCUUCUUCUGAUUUUAGCGGCGGACGGGUGAGUAACACGUGGGCAACCUACCUUGUAGAUUGGGAUAACUCCGGGAAACCGGGGCUAAUACCGAAUAAUCCAUUUUGCUUCAUGGCGAGAUGUUGAAAGACGGUUUCGGCUGUCACUACAAGAUGAGCCCGCGGCGCAUUAGCUAGUUGGUAGGGUAAUGGCCUACCAAGGCGACGAUGCGUAGCCGACCUGAGAGGGUGAUCGGCCACACUGGGACUGAGACACGGCCCAGACUCCUACGGGAGGCAGCAGUAGGGAAUCUUCCACAAUGGACGAAAGUCUGAUGGAGCAACGCCGCGUGAGUGAAGAAGGUUUUCGGAUCGUAAAACUCUGUUGUAAGGGAAGAACACGUACGAGAGUAACUGCUCGUACCUUGACGGUACCUUAUUAGAAAGCCACGGCUAACUACGUG